UACGUAGGGGGCAAGCGUUGUCCGGAUUUAUUGGGCGUAAAGAGCGUGUAGGCGGCCUGGCAGGUCAGCUGUGAAAACUCGAGGCUCAACCUCGAGACGUCGGUUGAAACCACCUGGCUAGAGUCCGGAAGAGGAGUGUGGAAUUCCCGGUGUAGCGGUGAAAUGCGCAGAUAUCGGGAAGAACACCCGUGGCGAAGGCGGCGCUCUGGGACGGUACUGACGCUGAGACGCGAAAGCGUGGGGAGCGAACAGG
rnacentral:rRNA from 1 species